CCCAUGCAUGCACGCACGGGAAUCUGUGACAUUUUCGAGAAGAGGAAGCUCUUCUUUCGAUUUAAACAGCUCUUCUUUGGAAAUAAAAACCAAAAAUAUAGGCCAUAACCUAAACUUAACCUAGCUCUCACAACUUCCCACUACCUUUUUACAAUUUUAUGAUUACCUGCUACUGUAGAGCAGGUCUUCAAGUCAUAACUUCUACUGAAGAUGCAUAAGAGAUAUCACUAUGCUGAUUUGGGUUGGGCAGUGUAUGUGAUGGUCAGUUUAGCCCUAUCUGAUAGUCUACUAAUAAUCCAAGCAGACUGCAAUGAAGAUGUCUCUAUGAAGUGUGAAGCUGUCCAGGAUAAGAGCUAUCGAUCUGUUACAUGGUAUAAGUUGAACAACCAGACUGGUAUUAUCAGAAGAAGUAACGGUGAGAAGCCAUAUCCCUUUAGAUUUCCCCGACCUGCUAGGUUUGGACCAAUGGACAGUCUAGUUCUUCCCAGAGUCAGGCCUGAGGAUGCAGGGACAUACCAGUGUCUCCUCAGGGCCAACAUAGGACAGACCAACAGAGAUUCAAAGGUCACCCUCAAUGUAUCUACAGAUUGUGUGAUCCAUACUACAGUGGCAGUGACAGCCUGGCAGAACGUGACUCACACUACCCCAAUGUGUCCCAUACAAUUGGUUGAGGUCUCUGUCAUAUGGACUUCAUGUGGAUUCUUGAUACUGGGUUUUGUCAAAAUCGCUCUGUGUCUAAUCUCUAUUGGGGUUGUUCGAAACAUCAAGAGGAGUCAUAGCAGGAGAAAAAAACAACAACAGUGGUGAAAGAAAAUCUUGGUAAAAAACCCACGUUCUGAGCGCAGCGGUUUCAAGAACUGCUGGAUUUUAGGUCUCUGGAAACAUUUGUUAAGCUGCGUUAAUACAUGCAGACCAAUUCUGAUUUUUUCCCCGAACACAUCAGAUCUUUUCACAUCAGAUAUUUUUCAGCACUGAUUGAAUUGGUCAAAAAUAUCAGAAUUGGGCUACCUGUGUAAACGCAGCCCUAGAGAGUUCACAGAUGCAAUCACUUAAAGUAAAACCUUACAAUGUAAUGAAAGGUGUAAAUAUCUGCUUUAAAUAUAGUUCUGCUAAAAUCUUGCAAUAAUACCCUGAGCAGCUUUCCAGCAAAUGCAGUUCUGUAUACUUAUUGUUGACCCUACUUAUCACAGACUACCUUAUCGAUUUUAUUCUGCCAAUACCGGAGUUGAUGAGUGAAGAUGCAUUGUUUUGAUUUUCCUUCCAACCACUUUGUGAAAACUUUGAUGCUGAUGAGGUAUGAUUCAUGUCCAGAAUAGCCAGUAGCCCCUGCUGAUUGUGCCUUAUUGAGUAAACUCAACGCUGUUCAAACAGCAGGAUGCUGUGAGGACAACUUAGGGCAGGGGUUCUCAAACUUUUUUGGUCCACAACCUAAUUUUGAUAUGUGAAAAUUCUUGCAAGCCCAACCAUGUGAACAAUUAUGUAAAAUUAUGUAAUUAACAGCCAAUGUUUACUUUUUUACUUGGGGCUCUGGCAGUCAAUUGAAAAACAUUCUAACAGUAUUUCUGAUUGUCUUCUCAAACCACCAUCACAUACUUUUAAUGUGGGGCUAUGACAGUCAAUUGCAAGUUAGUCUGACAUAAUGUAUCUUAUCUCACCACCACUAAUGACGUGGGUGUGCUUGAUGCAUGUCGAGUCGGAGCUUCUCAAAGUCAGGGGGCGAGAUCGACAGUGCGCACCACAUCUCUGCUGUUACAUCCAACCUGGAUCAAUAUUUGGUUAUAAUGCAGACGAGAGCACUGAAACCAGCUUCACACACAUAUUAGGUGGUGAAGACUAGCCUACCAUGAGUUUUAUGGUGCUUUCAAGACAACUGGGAACUCAGAAAAGUACGAGGUCAAAUCAUGACGUCAGUGAUUGUUAGGUCGGAAAGUUGGAGCUCUAGAAAAUCGUAAUUCCCAGUUGGGGCACUUUCCUUUCCAAGUUCCUAGUUGUCUUCAACGCACUGAAGUCGGAAGUCGGACAUUUCCGAGUUCCCAGUUCCUAGUUCCCAGUUGUUUUGAACGCGACCAUUAAUGCUCAUAGGGAGACGGCAGGGUAUUCCCUUUGAGUCAGGAACCAAAACUCCUCUGUAGUGAACUUAAAUGCAUUGUCUUCAGCAUUCGGUCACAUGACAGCUCGUCAGCUGUUCAAUUUCACUUACCAGCAUGUCAACUGAGCCAGGGUCACAGUCAAACGAAUUGGGAAGUACAGUAGGUCCCAAAGUGCUCUUCGAAGCGUUGGAGGUGAGCAGUCAUCACUCGUGUGGGACACUUACUGAUGCUGUUUUCUGUUAUUUUCUUUUAAUUACACAGAAAGUCAACCAAGUCUGUAUUCUUUAGAUCCGUUGUGAAUGACAGUCCCUCUCUUAAUGUGAAAAAUCUUUCCAACAUUCCCCCUCAAUAACCACCAAGCCUUGGUGUGAAAUAGAACAUUGUCAUGCUCUGAUCCAAUAUCUCCAUGUAGUUUUGCGAACAGGCGUACAAGUAGUGGAUGUGGUUUGAUGUAGUUACAAUCAAAGUUAGCUGCUGCAGUAAAUUCUGUGCUCAGCUCUUUUGCCGCCAGUUGCUCUCGGUAUAUCAUACAAUGGUCCAUAUGGCAGAGGGAGAUCCAUUCAUAACUAGAGUGCAGAGGCCUGCAUGCCGUCCCGCCAUAGAUGGAGCCCCAUCUGUGCAAAAGCCCACCAUUCAAUCCCAUAUGGAAUCUGUUUUCAUCAAUCAAAUCAAAUCAAAUGUAUUUAUAUAGCCCUUCUUACAUCAGCUGAUAUCUCAAAGUGCUAUACAGAAACCCAGCCUAAAACCCCAAACAGCAAGCAAUGCAGGUGUAGAAGCACGGUGGCUAGGAAAAACUCCCUAGAAAGGCCAAAACCUAGGAAGAAACCUAGAGGAACCAGGCUAUGAGGGGUGGCCAGUCCUCUUCUGGCUGUGCCGGGUGGAGAUUAUAACAGAACAUGGCCAAGAUGUUCAAAUAUUCAUAAAUGACCAGCAUGGUCAAAUAAUAAUAAUAAUAAUAAUAAUAAUAAUAAAUCAAUAUAGCCACGCAGCACACUGAACAUCCUCUAUACCGUUUCAUGCUCGGGAAUCGUGAGAAAGAACAAUAUGUCCUCUUGAAUAGCAUCCCCCGAAGUGUAUAGCGAACAAAAGUCAAUGCGUGAGCAACUCGGCCCUCACAGCUAACAUUCAUUUGGAGAACAUAAGCUGGGGUGCUUGAGUAGUUCAGUCAGAGUUUCCUCUUGAUUGCUAGCAAUAGCAUAACUUAUUUAUUUAACAGUGUUAUCUGACAACGGUAUUGAUGUGAGUUUCUGUGCCUCUGCCUACCCACACAUUGUUUUCACCAUAUCAAUUGCGGCCGGUAAUAUCAAAGUCUCAGCUAUAGUGUGUGGUUUCACAGCGUAGUGGGCCUAGCCAUUCCCCGUGGGAAUGAUUCAAGUGCGGCCUUUUCCCAUGGUCUAAGGGCACUCCCUGGCUGAAUUUCAUUGCUAGAAUUUAAUCAUUUUGAUUUUGAUUUUUAAGGUUAAGCACAUUUCAGUGAUUUUGAGAUACAAAGAAGAUAUUAUAAUAUAUACUAUAUACACAAAAGUAUGUGGACACCCCUUGAAAUUAGUGGAUUUGGUUAUUUCAGCCACACCGUUGCUGACAGGUGUAUAAAAUCGAGCACACAGCCAUGCAAUCUUCAUAGACAAAAAUUGGCAAUAGAAUGGCCUUACUGAAGAGCUCAGUGACAUUCAACGUGCCACCGUUAUAGGAUGCCACCUUUCCAACAAGUCAGUUCGUCUAAUUUCUGCCCUGCUAGAGCUGCCCCGGCCAACUGUAAGUGCUGUUACUGUGAAGUGGAAAGGUCUUGGAGCUACAAAAGCUCACCCAUGAAGUGGUAGGCCACACAAGCUUACAGAACGGGACCGCCGAGUGCUGAAGUGCGUACUGUGUAAAAAUCGUCUGUCCUCGGUUGUAAUACUAACUACCGUGUUCCAAAAUUGCCUCUGGAAGCAAUGUCAGCACAAGAACUGUUCUUCGGGAGCUUCAAGAAAUGGGUUUCCAUGGCCGAGCAACCACACACAAGCCUAAGAUCACCAUGCGCAAUGCAAACCGUUGGCUGGAGUGGUGUAAAGCUCUCAUUGGCCUCUGGAGCAGUGGAAAUGCAUUCUCUGGAGUUUUGAAUCACGCUUCACCAUCUGCCAGUCUUACGGAUGAAUCUGGGUUUGGCGGAUGCCAGGAGAACGCUACCUGCCCGAAUGCAUAGUGCCAACUGUAAAGUUUGGUGGAGGAGGAGGCUGUCUGGGGCUGUUUUUCAUGGUUCGGGCCCCUUAGUUCCAGUGAAGGGAAAUCUUAACGCUACAGCAUACAAUGAUAUUCUAGAUGAUUCUGUGCUUCCAACUUUAUGGCAACAGUUUGGGGAAUGCCCAUUCCUGUUUCAGUAUGACAAUGCCCCUGUGCACAAAGUGAGGUCCAUACAGAAAUAGUUUGUUGAGAUCAGUGUUGAAGAACUUGACUGGCCUGCACAAAGCCCUGACCUCAACCCCAUUGAACACCUUUGGGAUGAAUUGGAACGCCGACUGCGUGGAAGGCCUAACUGCCCAACAUCAGUGCCCAACCUCACUAAUGCUCUUGUGGCUGAAUGGAAGCAAGUCCCCGCAGCAAUGUUCUAGUGGAAAGCCUUCUCAGAAGAGUGGAGGCUUUUAUAGCAGUAAAGGGGGACCAACUCAAUAUUAAUGCCCAUGAAUUUGGAAUGAGAUGUUUGACGAGCAGGUGUCCACAUACUUUUGGUCAUGUAGUGUAUAUAUUUUUUGGGGGGGGUGUAUAUAUCUUUCUUUGGAUUUUUCAAAUUCUCCUGUGACCCUAUUUUAAUAUCAGGUUUGAGAACUGUGACCCCUUUUUCUCCAGCGACCUCAUUUUUAUACCCUUAAUUUGAGAACUGCUGACUGAUACCCUAACUACACCGCUCGUGUUUCCCGUGCGCGAGUGUUGCAAAAUAAAUUUAGGAAUCUAAGUUAUUCAAUUAUUGCACCCACACUGCUCGCACGCGUCAUCGAGCGUCUGCGUUGCCAAGGGCUAAAAUAGAAGUAAUUUCUAUUUCUGACGCAGAUCGCGCUGCAAGUCCUGCCUCUCCCAUCUCCUCAUUGGUUUAUAGAAGCAGGUACCCACGUGCAAUCUCUUCAAUGGUUAUACCCAAGUGGGUGAUUGAAAGACAAACUUUGUUGCCGGUCGUCGUGGUAAUACAAUGAAAGUUUAGAUGCCAAUCACCACAUAAGUUCAAAGAUGAAAAAGCCUGGAAGGAGAAGAGAUAACUAGAAACAAUUCAGUUGAUCGUUUUAUGUGUAGAUUAAUUGCCGGAGUAGAGGACCUUGUGCAUUUCAGGUAAAAUAACAACUCAAUGUUUAUAUCCCAGGACAAAUUAGCUAGCAACAGCAAGCUAGCUAAUAGGACAAAUUAGCUAGCAAGUCCAAGCUAGCUAGCUAAAUUACCAUAUGUGUUUAAUUAUUUUCGACCUGUCCCCAAAUUAAUGUAAUUGGUUCAGAGUUUGUUUUAAUAUUUUAACCUGCGUGUCGUGAUUGCGUUUGGUGUGGGGGGGACAAAAUAAAUGUAUGCACGAUGGUGCACGCGCGCAGCCAGUUUGGGUUCCGUGUUAGGGUCAGGCUGUGGGGGUUUCUAUUGUUAUUGUACUGUCAUGUUAUUAACUAUGUAGGCCAGAAUAUUAAAAUGUUAGAAGGCUCAGGUGUGUUUUUUUCUGUAUUCUAUUGUAUUGUGCCUUGGUUUUUUGUCUCAUUUUAGUCUCAUUUUAGUAUCUAGGCUUAUGCAGGUAGUGAAUGGAUUUUACCAGUUUGUACUUUUGUUCGCACAAGAAACACCUACAAAUUUGUUCAAUGUAUUACCCUCCACAUUAACAUCAAAUCUACUCAAUUGGUCACAUGCACACGAUACAGUGAAAUGCUUGCUUGCUAACGGCUCUGACUUAGAAUAUGUGGACAACUACAAAUACCUAUGUGUCUGGUUAGACUGUAAACUCUCCUUCCAGACCCACAUCAAACAUCUCCAAUCCAAAGUCAAAUCUAGAAUUGGCUUCCUAUUCCGCAACAAAGCAUCCUUUACUCAUGCUGCCAAACAUACCCUUGUAAAACUGACCAUCCUACCAAUCCUCGACUUCGGUGAUGUCAUUUACAAAAUAGCCUCCAAAACCCUACUCAAUAAAUUGGAUGCAGUCUAUCACAGUGCCAUCCGUUUUGUCACCAAAGCCCCAUAUACUACCCACCACUGCGACCUGUACACUCUCGUUGGCUGGCCCUCGCUUCAUACUCGUCGCCAAACCCACUGGUUCCAGGUCAUCUACAAGACCCUGCUAGGUAAAGUCCCCCCUUAUCUCAGCUCGCUGGUCACCAUAGCAGCACCUACCUGUAGCACGCGCUCCAGCAGGUAUAUCUCUCUAGUCACCCCCAAAACCAAUUCUUCCUUUGGACGCCUCUCCUUCCAGUUCUCUGCUGCCAAUGACUGGAACGAACUACAAAAAUCUCUGAAACUGGAAAUACCUAUCUCCCUCACUAGCUUUAAGCACCAGCUGUCAGAGCAGCUCAUAGAUUACUGCACCUGUACAUAACCCAUCUACAAUUUAGCCCAAACAACUACCUCUUUACCUACUGUAUUUAUUUAUUAAUUUAUUUUGCUCCUUUGCACCCCAUUAUUUCUGUCUCUACUUUGCACUUUCUUCCAAUGCAAACCAACCAUUCCAGUGUUUUUUUUUUUUUUUUUUUUUUUUUUUUUUUUUUUUUUUACUUGCUGUGUUGUACUCACUUCGCCUCCAUGGCCUUUUUAUAUUUUUAUUUAUUUAUACAUAUAUCUGUUUGCCUUCACCUCCCUUAUCUCACCUCACUUGCUCACAUUGUAUAUAGACUUAUUUUUUUUCACUGUAUUAUUGACUAUAUGUUUGUUUUUACUCCAUGUGUAACUAUGUGUUGUUGUAUGUGUCGAACUGCUUUGCUUUAUCUUGGCCAGGUCGCAAUUGUAAAUGAGAACGUGUUCUCAAUUUGCCUACCUGGUUAAAUAAAGGUUAAAUAAAAAAAUAAAAAAAAUAAAAAAAUAACUCAACUCAACAAUGCAGUACAAUAACAAUGUUAAUCAAGAAUCAAAUGCCAAAUACAAAAGUCCCAAAAUAACAAGUAGUAAUAAAAAGUAGAAUAAAAAAAUCUAGAUCAUAACUGAGUGAACAGUCUGUGGCUCGGGUGACCGGAGUCUGUGAUGAUCUUCUGGGCCUUCCUCAGACACCGGCAGAGGUUGUUAUGCCACUCUGCCAGGGCUCCAACCUCCUCCCUGAAGGCUGUCUUGUUGCUGUCGGGGAUCAGACCUACCACUGUCGUGUCGUCAGCAAACAUGAAUAUGGUGUUGGAGUUGUACGUGACCAAGCAGUCAUGGGUGAACAGAGAAUACAGGGGGGCGCUGAGCACACACCCCUGGGGGACCCCCGUGUUGAGAGUCAGUGUGGCAGAGGUGUGGUUGCCUACCCUGUCAGGAAGUCCAGGAUCCAGUUGCAGAGGGAGGUGUUCAGACCCAGUGAUUGAGAUGACUCAGAAAAGCUACAUUUUUGCAUAAGAAUCUCUCACAUCCUCUGCUUGUAAGAGGGAACUUUGUCAUAACAAACUCACAGGUGUGAGAUCUUAAUUUGACCAGUAUUGUCGCAGCAAAAUAAUCCUGCAGUAACAGAAUUUGAACGUUUAGUCUAGGGUAUUAGCUGGUCAAAAUCAGGCUCCAUGAAAAGUGUAGCACUGUUAAUAUAACCUAUGUUAGUGAAUUUAUGUAACACCUGCGGUGGAGGAAAAUUCUUAGCAACAACAGAGUGAUCAGCUUGCAUUUAUACCUCGGUCAUAUCUCUGUCUGUCUGUUUGUCUGUGCUAUGUUUCCCUGUUUAAAAUUCCCCAUCAAGAAUGUAUGUAUAACCAACAACUAAGAAAAUGAUUCUUUGUUUCGUCAUUGAUAAUCCUCCUCCUGGCUGUUGCUGUUUCAGUUCCUGUCCCUGCUUUCCUACCUAAAGGCAAAAUUAAAGAACUAUAAGUCACUCUCUCCUUAUUGUUCUCUAGCCUGUAUUGGCCUUAACCUGUGUG